AGAGUUUGAUCAUGGCUCAGGACGAACGCUGGCGGCGUGCCUAAUACAUGCAAGUAGAACGCUGAAGAGAGGAGCUUGCUCUUCUUGGAUGAGUUGCGAACGGGUGAGUAACGCGUAGGUAACCUGCCUUGUAGCGGGGGAUAACUAUUGGAAACGAUAGCUAAUACCGCAUAACAAUGGAUGACACAUGUCAUUUAUUUGAAAGGGGCAAUUGCUCCACUACAAGAUGGACCUGCGUUGUAUUAGCUAGUAGGUGAGGUAACGGCUCACCUAGGCGACGAUACAUAGCCGACCUGAGAGGGUGAUCGGCCACACUGGGACUGAGACACGGCCCAGACUCCUACGGGAGGCAGCAGUAGGGAAUCUUCGGCAAUGGGGGCAACCCUGACCGAGCAACGCCGCGUGAGUGAAGAAGGUUUUCGGAUCGUAAAGCUCUGUUGUAAGUCAAGAACGAGUGUGAGAGUGGAAAGUUCACACUGUGACGGUAGCUUACCAGAAAGGGACGGCUAACUACGUGCCAGCAGCCGCGGUAAUACAUAGGUCCCGAGCGUUGUCCGGAUUUAUUGGGCGUAAAGCGAGCGCAGGCGGUUUGAUAAGUCUGAAGUUAAAGGCUGUGGCUCAACCAUAGUUCGCUUUGGAAACUGUCAAACUUGAGUGCAGAAGGGGAGAGUGGAAUUCCAUGUGUAGCGGUGAAAUGCGUAGAUAUAUGGAGGAACACCGGUGGCGAAAGCGGCUCUCUGGUCUGUAACUGACGCUGAGGCUCGAAAGCGUGGGGAGCGAACAGGAUUAGAUACCCUGGUAGUCCACGCCGUAAACGAUGAGUGCUAGGUGUUGGAUCCUUUCCGGGAUUCAGUGCCGCAGCUAACGCAUUAAGCACUCCGCCUGGGGAGUACGACCGCAAGGUUGAAACUCAAAGGAAUUGACGGGGGCCCGCACAAGCGGUGGAGCAUGUGGUUUAAUUCGAAGCAACGCGAAGAACCUUACCAGGUCUUGACAUCCCGAUGCUAUUUCUAGAGAUAGAAAGUUACUUCGGUACAUCGGUGACAGGUGGUGCAUGGUUGUCGUCAGCUCGUGUCGUGAGAUGUUGGGUUAAGUCCCGCAACGAGCGCAACCCCUAUUGUUAGUUGCCAUCAUUCAGUUGGGCACUCUAGCGAGACUGCCGGUAAUAAACCGGAGGAAGGUGGGGAUGACGUCAAAUCAUCAUGCCCCUUAUGACCUGGGCUACACACGUGCUACAAUGGUUGGUACAACGAGUUGCGAGUCGGUGACGGCAAGCUAAUCUCUUAAAGCCAAUCUCAGUUCGGAUUGUAGGCUGCAACUCGCCUACAUGAAGUCGGAAUCGCUAGUAAUCGCGGAUCAGCACGCCGCGGUGAAUACGUUCCCGGGCCUUGCACACACCGCCCGUCAA
rnacentral:rRNA from 1 species